rnacentral:rRNA from 1 species
AAGCUCGUAGUUGAAUUUCGGGGUUCUACCAUUGGUCGGGCAAUAGUCUGUACUGGUGUGUAGAAUUUCUACCUUCUGGGGAACUAUCAUGUUAUUUAUUUAGCGUGGUAGGAAACCAGGACCUUUACCUUGAAAAAAUUAGAGUGUUCAAAGCAGGCUUACGUCUGAAUACAUUAGCAUGGAAUAAUAAAAUAGGACGGUGGUCCUGUUUUGUUGGUUUCUGAAUCACCGUAAUGAUUAAUAGGGAUAGUUGGG